UAAAACCGGAUGCUCUCUUCUUCUCGCUCUCUUUCUCUCUGCAGCGCGUGUCUGGUUGAGCUUUCUCAGACACAGAAGACAGAGCCGCUCAAUUAAAGUAUGCUCGUAAUGAAUUACACGCCAGGAUCGCAUCGCAGCGCUUUCAGACCACCAUGAUAACUGAAGGAUUCAACACGACGUGGUCCCGAUUAUCUACUGACUGACUGAUUGUGUGAUAAUUGUGCUCAGUUCAUGGAAAUGGUGAACGAAUGGAUCGAAACGUGGAUACAGCACUGAUCAGAAGGAGCUGAAAGCGCCAUGAGUGUCCUGAUUCGCUUGGCUCUGGAGCUAUCCGCUCCAUGGUGACCGAAUGCUGGAGAUUGAUGUCAGACCAUGAAAUGUCUCUUAAAAACUUUUAUUAUCAAAUAAAGCGUAUAUCAAAACGGUC